GAUGAACGCUGGCGGCGUGCCUAAUACAUGCAAGUCGAGCGAACAGACGAGGAGCUUGCUCCUCUGACGUUAGCGGCGGACGGGUGAGUAACACGUGGAUAACCUACCUAUAAGACUGGGAUAACUUCGGGAAACCGGAGCUAAUACCGGAUAAUAUAUUGAACCGCAUCGUUCAAUAGUGAAAGACGGUUUUGCUGUCACUUAUAGAUGGAUCCGCGCCGCAUUAGCUAGUUGGUAAGGUAACGGCUUACCAAGGCAACGAUGCGUAGCCGACCUGAGAGGGUGAUCGGCCACACUGGAACUGAGACACGGUCCAGACUCCUACGGGAGGCAGCAGUAGGGAAUCUUCCGCAAUGGGCGAAAGCCUGACGGAGCAACGCCGCGUGAGUGAUGAAGGUCUUCGGAUCGUAAAACUCUGUUAUUAGGGAAGAACAAAUGUGUAAGUAACUAUGCACGUCUUGACGGUACCUAAUCAGAAAGCCACGGCUAACUACGUG
rnacentral:rRNA from 1 species